UAAAUAAUUUAAGGAAAAGGUGCAAAUAUCAUACAAGUAUAUUUGCUUAAAAGGGAAGAUCGGUGUAAUUCCGGCGCGGUCCCGCCACUGUAAAUGCAGAGCGAAUCUUUCAUAUGUCACUGUCUUGAUAGCAAGAUGGGAAGACGAAGAUGAGCGAUGACGCACAAGCCAGGAGACCUGCCUUUUCUGUAUAUGUUUC
rnacentral:ncRNA from 1 species